rnacentral:rRNA from 1 species
GACGAACGCGGCCGGCGUGCUUAACACAUGCAAGUCGAACGGGAUUUAGUAGACAGAAGCUUCGGUGGAUGAUUACUAAUGAGAGUGGCGAACGGGUGAGUAACGCGUGAGCAACCUGCCUAUGACAGUGGGAUAGCCUCGGGAAACCGGGAUUAAUACCGCAUAAAAUCGUAGAAACACAUGUUUCAACGGUCAAAGAUUUAUCGGUCAUAGAUGGGCUCGCGUCUGAUCAGCUAGUUGGUGAGAUAACAGCCCACCAAGGCGACGAUCAGUAGCCGGUCUGAGAGGAUGAACGGCCACAUCGGAACUGAGACACGGUCCAAACUCCUACGGGAGGCAGCAGUGGGGAAUAUUGCACAAUGGGGGAAACCCUGAUGCAGCGACGCCGCGUGAACGAAGAAGGUAUUCGUAUCGUAAAGUUCUGUCCUAUGGGAAGAUAAUGACAGUACCAUAGAAGAAAGCUCCGGCUAAAUACGUGCCAGCAGCCGCGGUAAUACGUAUGGAGCGAGCGUUGUCCGGAAUUAUUGGGCGUAAAGGGUACGCAGGCGGUUUAAUAAGUCGAAUGUUAAAGAUCGGGGCUCAACCCCGUAAAGCAUUGGAAACUGAUAAACCUGAGUAGUGGAGAGGAAAGUGGAAUUCCUAGUGUAGUGGUGAAAUACGUAGAUAUUAGGAGGAAUACCAGUAGCGAAGGCGACUUUCUGGACACAAACUGACGCUGAGGUACGAAAGCGUGGGGAGCAAUCAGG